rnacentral:misc_RNA from 1 species
UUCUUUUCUUUUCUUUUCUUUUUCAAAUUAAGAAAAGCAGUAGAAAUUGAAGAAGGAAGAAAAAGAAGAAGAAGCGAAUUUACAGAAGCAGGGAACCAAAUAAUUUGGGAUGUUGUUCCUGUCUGAAGAGUGCCCACACUCGCAAACACAACGUAGUUGCGUAUACUCUCUCUCUCUCUUCUCUCUUCUCUCUCUUUGGCUUCUUG